rnacentral:tRNA from 1 species
GUAAUUCAAACACAAUUGAUUACACUAUUGUUUGCUGGUUAGAGUAGCUGACUCAUAAUCAGUUGGUCCCUGGUUCGAGCCCAGGUGGGACCA